rnacentral:rRNA from 1 species
AACGAACGCUGGCGGCAUGCCUAACACAUGCAAGUCGAACGAGACCUUCGGGUCUAUUGGCGCACGGGUUCGUAACGCGUGGGAACCUGCCCUUAGGUUCGGAAUAACUCCCCGAAAGGGGUGCUAAUACCGGAUAAUGUCUUCGGACCAAAGAUUUAUCGCCUUUGGAUGGGCCCGCGUUGGUUUAGCUAGUUGGUAGGGUAAAAGCCUACCAAGGCGACGAUCCAUAGCUGGUCUGAGAGGAUGAUCAGCCACACUGGGACUGAGACACGGCCCAGACUCCUACGGGAGGCAGCAGUGGGGAAUAUUGGACAAUGGGCGAAAGCCUGAUCCAGCAAUGCCGCGUGAGUGAUGAAGGCCUUAGGGUUGUAAAGCUCUUUUACCCGGGAUGAUAAUGACAGUACCGGGAGAAUAAGCUCCGGCUAACUCCGU